UACGGGGGGGCAAGCGUUGUUCGGAAUUACUGGGCGUAAAGGGCUCGUAGGCGGCCAACUAAGUCGGAUGUGAAAUCCCCAGGCUUAACCUGGGAACUGCAUCCGAUACUGGAUGGCUUGAAUCCGGGAGAGGGAUGCAGAAUUCCAGGUGUAGCGGUGAAAUGCGUAGAUAUCUGGAGGAAUACCGGUGGCGAAGGCGGCAUCCUGGACCGGCAUUGACGCUGAUGCGCGAAAAGCCCAGGGGAGCAAACGGGG
rnacentral:rRNA from 1 species